AAAUGACAUAUCGAAGUAAAACCAAAUGGGAAAAGUUAAAUAUUCCCCUUCCACUGGAUAUUUUAGUGGCCAAAUUACUUUUUUAAUUUAUGAUUAUUCAUUCUCCUUAUUCAUUCAUCCAUAUAGCCAUCUGCUUACUUAAAAAGAAUCUAUGGAACAUAAGCUAUGUGAUAAGUACAUGGAAUAAAGAGAAGAUAUGUUUGGCAUAUCUUAAAGAAGCAGAAACAUCACUGAAUAUCCAUCAGUGAAAAUCUAAAAAUAUGAAAACCAAGUCUUCAGAGCGGCAGCAAUGAAUCAAACCUAUUACUGAGACUUUAAGCCUCUCCAGCUGCAUGUGAAGGAGGUGUGAAAAAAUGAAAGUUCAAUAAUCUAAAAAAAAGUAGUGCCUUUCCGCACUUUGUGGGAUGGUGGUGAUUGUGGAGCACACAAAGUAGUAUUCACUCAGUGGGUGAUUUUUGCAGUAGCAGUCUGAUCUAAGUCUAAAUCUCAAUCCAAAAUUAAAACUCAAGAUGUGUUUCAUUGCUUCUGAGCCAACAUUUUUCUGUACUGUAUUCUCUAGCUAAGCUCCUCUAUGUCUCUGAUCAUCUUGUGAUUAUACCUUAUUUCAAGUGAAAGUCUUUAGAACAUCCCUUUUGAAAAAAAAAUGUGCAAUUUUAAAACACACCUGCCUGGAUGAUUGCUUCUUAUUUUCAUUACCUCAUUUGGAAAAUCAUAAAUUGUCUCUUAUAUAAGAUGGAAUAGUAAAAUGGAGUGGAAAAUGUCUCCAGAAUUUCAUGUUUCUUACUGUGUUAUCCUGGGAGAUCCUCAAUUUACAGAAUAUAGCUACAAGGAUUUUUCAGUCUUUUAACUUGUGGUGUUCAAAAUGAUAUAUUAUGAUAAAUAUGAAGAGAUAAAUUUUCUUUUGGUGGAAAGAUAAAAAUUGAUUGCAACCUUGUUUUUCUUUCAUAUGGUUUUGUUAUUACACUCAAAUAAUAAGUUAAUAAAAUGUACUGAUAGUGUUUCAAAUAAACUUUGAUGAAAAUCAUGAUUUCACAUACACUCAAAAAGCUAUUUGUAAUUGCUAAUGUAACGGAGUACAUAAUGAAAUUAAGUAACUAGUUUGUUAUGAGCUCUUUGUACUUAAAGCUCUGUCUAACAGAGCUUUGCUUCAACAAAAUAGCAUCAGAUCUCCAGGUUUACCGACAAAAUUGUCUUAAUGUAAAAUUACUGAGCAUAAAGAUAACCUCAUAUAGCAAGGAAAAAAACUUAUGUAAAUAACCACUCAGAUGACAAG
rnacentral:lncRNA from 1 species